rnacentral:rRNA from 1 species
UACAGAGGUGGCAAGCGUUGUUCGGAAUUACUGGGCGUAAAGGGCGCGUAGGCGGCCUGUUAAGUCGAACGUGAAAUCCCCGGGCUCAACCCGGGAACUGCGUCCGAUACUGGCAGGCUUGAAUCCGGGAGAGGGAUGCGGAAUUCCAGGUGUAGCGGUGAAAUGCGUAGAUAUCUGGAGGAACACCGGUGGCGAAGGCGGCAUCCUGGACCAAUUCUGACGCUGAGGAGCGAAAGCCAGGGGAGCAAACGGA